CCGAGCCCUGACGCCCGCCCUGGCCGAGCGUAGCUGGCGGACCAGAGCCGGUAGCGAGGUUGGGAGAGACGGAGCGGACCUCAGCGCUGAAGCAGAAGCCCCUGGAGCUGCAGUCUCCCCGCCGCGGCUGAGCCAUGCAGCUCCCUGACCUGAGACCCUGGACCUCCCUGCUGCUGGUGGACGCGGCUUUACUGUGGCUGCUUCAGGGCCCUCUGGGGACUUUGCUUCCUCAAGGGCUGCCAGGACUAUGGCUGGAGGGGACCCUGCGGCUGGGAGGGCUGUGGGGGCUGCUAAAGCUAAGAGGGCUGCUGGGAUUUGUGGGGACACUGCUGCUCCCGCUCUGUCUGGCCACCCCCCUGACUGUCUCCCUGAGAGCCCUGGUCGCGGGGGCCUCACGUGCUCCCCCAGCCAGAGUCGCUUCAGCCCCUUGGAGCUGGCUGCUGGUGGGGUAUGGGGCUGCGGGGCUCAGCUGGUCACUGUGGGCUGUUCUGAGCCCUCCUGGAGCCCAGGAGAAGGAGCAGGACCAGGGAACAACAANNNNNNNNNNUUCUUCUUCCUUGUCCUUGCUGUUUUGGGUGAGACAUUAAUCCCUCACUAUUCUGGUCGUGUGAUUGACAUCCUGGGAGGUGAUUUUGACCCCCAUGCCUUUGCCAGUGCCAUCUUCUUCAUGUGCCUCUUCUCCUUUGGCAGCUCACUCUCUGCAGGCUGCCGAGGAGGCUGCUUCACCUACACCAUGUCUAGAAUCAACUUGCGGAUCCGGGAGCAGCUUUUCUCCUCCCUGCUGCGCCAGGACCUCGGUUUCUUCCAGGAGACUAAGACAGGU
rnacentral:lncRNA from 1 species